GUCUGUUUGGAGGUAUAAAAAGUCUGGCCUGCCCACUGAUAAUUAUUUUAAAGGGCCGCGGUAACUUGACCGUGCAAAGGUAGCAUAAUCGUUAGUUUUUUAAUUGGAAUCUUGUAUGAAUGGUUGAACAAAAGAAUAGCUGUCUCUAUGUUUUUAUUUGAAUUUAACUUUUAAGUGAAAAGGCUUAAAUUUUUUAAAAAGACGAUAAGACCCUGUAAAACUUGAUAAGUUUUAUUACUUAACCGAAUUAGUGCUAUGAAAAGUUUAGUGAAAAAAGCUUAUUUUAUUGGGGCGAUAAUGAUAAAAUGGUUUUAACUGUUGAUAAAAAAAGACAAGUCUUGGUGUGUAAGUUAUGUAAAUGAUCCUUAAAUUAAGAUUACAAGUUUAAGCUACUUCAGGGAUAACAGCGUUAUUUUUUUUGAGAGUUCAUAUCGAAAAAAAAGUUUGCGACCUCGAUGUUGAAUUAAAAUUUCUAUAUAAUUGCAGAAGUUAUAUUAGAGGGUCUGUUCGACCUUUAAAUUUUUACAUGAUUUGAGUUCAGACCGGCGUGAG
rnacentral:rRNA from 1 species